UCCCUGCUGGCUCAGACAGUAAAGAAUCUGCCUGCAAAGCAGGAGACCCAGGUUCGAUCCCUGGGUCGGGAA
rnacentral:tRNA from 1 species